UAGAGUUUUGAUCCUGGCUCAGGACGAACGCUGGCGGCGUGCCUAAUACAUGCAAGUCGAGCGGUCCCUUCGGGGAUAGCGGCGGACGGGUGAGUAACACGUAGGCAACCUGCCUGUAAGAUUGGGAUAACUAUCGGAAACGAUAGCUAAGACCAGAUAACUGGUUCUCUCGCAUGAGGGGAUCAUGAAACACGGGGUAACCUGUGGCUUACAGAUGGGCCUGCGGCGCAUUAGCUAGUUGGUAGGGUAACGGCCUACCAAGGCGACGAUGCGUAGCCGACCUGAGAGGGUGAUCGGCCACACUGGGACUGAGACACGGCCCAGACUCCUACGGGAGGCAGCAGUAGGGAAUCUUCCGCAAUGGACGCAAGUCUGACGGAGCAACGCCGCGUGAGUGAUGAAGGUUUUCGGAUCGUAAAGCUCUGUUGCCAGGGAAGAACGCCUAGGAGAGUAACUGCUCUUAGGGUGACGGUACCUGAGAAGAAAGCCCCGGCUAACUACGUGCCAGCAGCCGCGGUAAUACGUAGGGGGCAAGCGUUGUCCGGAAUUAUUGGGCGUAAAGCGCGCGCAGGCGGUCAUUUAAGUUUGGUGUUUAAGCCCGGGGCUCAACCCCGGAUCGCACUGAAAACUGGGUGACUUGAGUGCGGGAGAGGAAAGUGGAAUUCCACGUGUAGCGGUGAAAUGCGUAGAGAUGUGGAGGAACACCAGUGGCGAAGGCGACUUCGGACCGUAACGACGCGAGGCGGAAAGCUGCAGCACCCU
rnacentral:rRNA from 1 species